UCGGGAAUUUUGCGCAAUGGACGAAAGUCUGACGCAGCAACGCCGCGUGAGGGAUGACGGCCUUCGGGUUGUAAACCUCUUUUCUCAGGGAAGAUGAUGACGGUACCUGAGGAAUAAGCCACGGCUAACUACGUGCCAGCAGCCGCGGUAAUACGUAGGUGGCAAGCGUUGUCCGGAUUUACUGGGCGUAAAGAGCGCGCAGGCGGUCGUUCAAGUCGCGUGUGAAAGCCCCCGGCUCAACUGGGGAGGGUCACGCGAUACUGAUCGACUCGAAGGCAGGAGAGGGUAGUGGAAUUCCCGGUGUAGUGGUGAAAUGCGUAGAUAUUCGGAAGAACACCAGUGGCGAAGACGACUCACUGGACACAUAUUGACGCUGAGGUGCGAAAGCGUGGGGAGCAAA
rnacentral:rRNA from 1 species